rnacentral:rRNA from 1 species
CCAAACGACUCUCGGCAACGGAUAUCUCGGCUCUCGCAUCGAUGAAGAACGUAGCAAAAUGCGAUACCUGGUGUGAAUUGCAGAAUCCCGUGAACCAUCGAGUUUUUGAACGCAAGUUGCGCCUGAUGCCUUCUGGCUGAGGGCACGCCUGCCUGGGCGUCAUGC